rnacentral:rRNA from 1 species
UAGCUAGUUGGUGAGGUAACGGCUUACCAAGGCGACGAUCUGUAGCGGGUCUGAGAGGAUGAUCCGCCACACUGGAACUGAGACACGGUCCAGACUCCUACGGGAGGCAGCAGUGGGGAAUUUUGGACAAUGGGGGCACCCUGAUCCAGCCAUGCCGCGUGAGUGAAGAAGGCCUUCGGGUUGUAAAGCUCUUUCGGCCGGGAAGAAAUCGCAUGGGCCAAUACCCUGUGUGGAUGACGGUACCGGAAUAAGAAGCACCGGCUAACUACGUGCCAGCAGCCGCGGUAAUACGUAGGGUGCGAGCGUUAAUCGGAAUUACUGGGCGUAAAGCGUGCGCAGGCGGUUUUGUAAGACAGGCGUGAAAUCCCCGGGCUCAACCUGGGAACUGCGUUUGUGACUGCAAGGCUAGAGUACGGCAGAGGGGGGUGGAAUUCCACGUGUAGCAGUGAAAUGCGUAGAGAUGUGGAGGAACACCAACGGCGAAGGCAGCCCCCUGGGUCGAUACUGACGCUCAUGCACGAAAGCGUGGGUAGCAAACAGGAUUAGAUACCCUGGUAGUCCACGCCCUAAACUAUGUCAACUAGGUGUUGGGUGGGUAAAACCAUUUAGUACCGUAGCUAACGCGUGAAGUUGACCGCCUGGGGAGUACGGCCGCAAGGUUAAAACUCAAAGGAAUUGACGGGGACCCGCACAAGCGGUGGAUGAUGUGGAUUAAUUCGAUGCAACGCGAAAAACCUUACCUACCCUUGACAUGCCAGGAACUUGCCAGAGAUGGCUUGGUGCCCGAAAGGGAGCCUGGACACAGGUGCUGCAUGGCUGUCGUCAGCUCGUGUCGUGAGAUGUUGGGUUAAGUCCCGCAACGAGCGCAACCCAUGUCGUUAAUUGCCAUCAUUUAGUUGGGCACUUUAGCGAGACUGCCGGUGACAAACCGGAGGAAGGUGGGGAUGACGUCAAGUCCUCAUGGCCCUUAUGGGUAGGGCUUCACACGUCAUACAAUGGUCGGUACAAAGGGUCGCCAAGCCGCGAGGUGGAGCCAAUCCCAGAAAGCCGAUCGUAGUCCGGAUUGCAGGCUGCAACUCGCCUGCAUGAAGUCGGAAUCGCUAGUAAUCGUGGAUCAGCAUGUCACGGUGAAUACGUUCCCGGGUCUUGUACACACCGCCCGUCACACCAUGGGAGCGGGUUCCGCCAGAAGUAGGUAGCCUAACCGUAAGGAGGGCGCUUACCACGGCGGGGUUCGUGACUGGGGUGAAGUCGUAACAAGGUAGCCGUAGGGGAACCUGCGGCUG